rnacentral:rRNA from 1 species
CCUACGGGAGGCAGCAGUGGGGAAUAUUGCACAAUGGGCGCAAGCCUGAUGCAGCCAUGCCGCGUGUGUGAAGAAGGCCUUCGGGUUGUAAAGCACUUUCAGCGGGGAGGAAGGCGUUAAGGUUAAUAACCUUGGCGAUUGACGUUACCCGCAGAAGAAGCACCGGCUAACUCCGUGCCAGCAGCCGCGGUAAUACGGAGGGUGCAAGCGUUAAUCGGAAUUACUGGGCGUAAAGCGCACGCAGGCGGUCUGUCAAGUCGGAUGUGAAAUCCCCGGGCUCAACCUGGGAACUGCAUUCGAAACUGGCAGGCUAGAGUCUUGUAGAGGGGGGUAGAAUUCCAGGUGUAGCGGUGAAAUGCGAAGAGAUCUGGAGGAAUACCGGUGGCGAAGGCGGCCCCCUGGACAAAGACUGACGCUCAGGUGCGAAAGCGUGGGGAGCAAACAGGAUUAGAUACCCGAGUAGUC